rnacentral:lncRNA from 1 species
UCCAGCCUAAUAAUUCAAUAAGAUCUAAAUUCAGCUUUACUAUUUUCUUUAUAAAGUGCUUAAAAUUGAACAAACAGGAGGAGAAAAAGGAAGAGAAGAAAACAGCAAUGAAGUCAUUUAGGAAUGAUAAGCAAAUGUGGCCAGUCAAUACUUGUUUCCAACAUGGACAAUAUUAAACUGUAAAGUUUCUGAAGUACUCCAGGUUUCUCAAAUACUCUUAUUUCCAGAUGUGUUUUUCCCAGGGCAAGUUGAUAAAGACAUUUUUGACCACCUGAUUUUUGCCUGUUGCCAUUGACUUUUCCUUUUUGAAGUGUGACUAAACUUUGAGAGCUCCUUCUUUGGUAAUUUAUAGAAGAAAAAGCCUUGGAAAAAAUAUUUGUACUUG